UACGGAGGAUGCGAGCGUUAUCCGGAAUGAUUGGGCGUAAAGGGUGCGCAGGCGGAACCAUAAGUCUGAAGUAAAAGCCGUCGGCUCAACCGAUGUAAGCUUUGGAAACUGUGGAUCUGGAGUGCAGGAGAGGACAGUGGAAUUCCAUGUGUAGCGGUAAAAUGCGUAGAUAUAUGGAGGAACACCAGUGGCGAAGGCGGCUGUCUGGCCUGUAACUGACGCUGAGGCACGAAAGCGUGGGGAGCAAACAGG
rnacentral:rRNA from 1 species